rnacentral:rRNA from 1 species
GAUGAACGCUGGCGGCGUGCCUAAUACAUGCAAGUCGAGCGAACAGACGAGGAGCUUGCUCCUCUGACGUUAGCGGCGGACGGGUGAGUAACACGUGGAUAACCUACCUAUAAGACUGGGAUAACUUCGGGAAACCGGCGCUAAUACCGGAUAAUAUAUUUAACCGCAUGGUUCAAUAGUGAAAGACGGUUUUGCUGUCACUUAUAGAUGGAUCCGCGCCGCAUUAGCUAGUUGGUAAGGUAACGGCUUACCAAGGCGACGAUGCGUAGCCGACCUGAGAGAGGGAUAGGCCACACGGGAACUGAACCACGGACCAGACUCCUACGGGAGGCAGCAGUAGGGAAUCGGCCGCAAUGGGCGAAAGCCUGACGGAGCAACGCCGCGUGAGUGACGAAGGUCUUCGGAGCGUAAAACUCUGUUAUUAGGGAAGAACAAAUGUGUAAGUAACUAUGCACGUCUUGACGGUACCUAAUCAGAAAGCCACGGCUAACUACGUG